rnacentral:lncRNA from 1 species
ACUCAGAGGGACUUGGCUCUCCUUUUGAAGCCUGCACAUCUUCAGUUCUCUGUUAAGAGUCGACAACCACUUGUAUCACAAUGAAUCCAAUGAGGAGGGCAUACUCAGUCACCAGCUCUGGCGGCAGCACCAGGAGGUCCUUUGCAGGGCCAGGAAGCAGCUACUCUGUAAAGAAGACCACCAGUUAUGGUGUUGGUGCCGGUCCAAGCAGUUACAGCAGUUAUGGUAUGUCUUCAAUGGGUGGUGGUGGUUCUUUCGGCCAAGCAGGAAUUGCUCCACCGAUCACAGCUGUCACAGUCAACCAGAGCCUGCUGUCCCCUCUCAACCUGGAAAUCGACCCCGCCAUCCAAGUUGUCCGCACUCAGGAGAAGGAGCAGAUCAAGACCCUCAACAACCGCUUUGCCUCCUUCAUCGACAAGGUGAGUUCUUGACUCUAUGAGAUCUCUGCACUUAUAUCUGACAGCUGUCUUAUGUGUAUCAAUAAGUUUCCCAUUUAACUUUUAAACAAACAUAAUGACUCGACAGUUAAAACUCUAAUAUAUCAAUGCAAAGUAACAGUAAUGAUAUGCCUUUCAGAUAUACACUACCUGUUAAGAGGUCAUUUUUGCUGUCAUAGCUGACAAAGCAAUAGAGUAGUGAAUCUUAUCUUUGUGGUGUUAUAUUCAUCAAUGAGUUACAGCCUGUAGGAUCUGUAAAGCUUAUAAAAUCUAAAAGCUUGUGUGUGAUUAUGACCCUGACUGACACCAGCAGCCCCAUCCUAAAUUUACCUAAGGCAACAAUUGGCCCUUACUCCUGUCUUAGCCUCUCUGCCCACUAUCUAAACAUGGGUGGGGAUUAUAUGGCAGUGACUCGCCCAUGCAAUACCUGGAGACUGGUAGAGAGAACAGGGAUCUACAGUAUCUGCACUAUACCCACAGAGUCCAAAGUCUAUUAUUUGCACAUUGUACCUAUCACCUGGUUGUCAAGGGCAACAGGAAUGCUAAGUAUAGGGUAGGAAAUCAACUUUCUCUCAUCUCUAUGAUCAAAUCCCAGAUCUGUGUUGAAACUUGCUUUUGAGUAGGAUGAUAUAUCUUUGAAUGCAUAAUGACACAUACUGAACUUAGACUAAGACAAAGCACUCCCAAAACAAAGCCCUUAUCCCAUGUUGCUGCUCCGCUUUGUCGUCUGCGGUUUAUCUGCCACACCUAGUUUUUUUUUUUUUUAUGACUAGACUGAGUGCGUGGCCUUCAUAGCUCAACUGAACACACAGGAUGAGUCAUAGCUCAAGAAACAAAGGGUGAAACCCUUAAAGCCACAUACAGAUUUUGGUGAGACACCAAGAUCAAACGAACUGCAUCCAUUGUUGUGAAGAAGAAAAAAAGCACUCCUUUUAUUCAAUGAGAAAUAAAGACUUAGAAGUUUCCUUUUGUAAUUUUGAUUACCAAAACUGCAUGCAGAAAAAGUAAGCCAAUGCCACCUUGAGCUACAAUUGUUAUGACCAGGGUGUGGCAGUUCUGAUAUGGAGAUAUCUGAUGAGUCUUUCAGGAAAAGGUCAAGCUUUUUAACUAGAUACAAUAAAACACACCUUUAAACCCUUUAACCACUUACUUUUAACUUAAGAAAGAAUACAAUGUACUUAAAAUCUAUUCAGCUGAAGCAUCACUGAAACAUCACACUAAUAAAACCACUACCAAGCCACUAUAUGUUGACCCAUGCCCAUCAUUACGACCUCUGCCAACCUUGCUCUUGGUGUUGUGUCUCCACAGGUCCGUUUCUUGGAGCAGCAGAACAAGAUGCUGGAGACCAAAUGGAGCCUCCUGCAGGAACAGACCACCACCCGCUCCAACAUUGAGGGCAUGUUCGAGGCCUACAUCGCCAACCUGCGCAGACAGCUUGAUGGGCUCGGCAAUGAGAAGUCUAAGCUGGAAGGAGAACUGAGAAACAUGCAAGGCCUGGUUGAGGACUUCAAGAGAAAGUGAGUGUCUGUAAUACAUGACCAAAUCAGACAUCACCAAAUAGUACAACUGGUGUAAGACGGUUGAAAUGAAGGAAAUGUAUUUAGAUUUCUCUCAUGCUUUGCAGGUAUGAAGAUGAAAUCAACAAACGUGCAGGUGCAGAGAAUGAGUUUGUGCUUCUGAAGAAGGUACAGAAAAAAAAAACGACCUCUGGGUUCAUUAACUCCAAGUUUAAAUAUAUUAGAGUGUGACUUUAACACUUUUCAAAUCUGACCUUAUGCUUUGUCAGGAUGUUGAUGCUGCCUACAUGAACAAGAUCGAGCUGGAAGCCAAAGUCGAUGCUCUUCAAGAUGAGAUCAACUUCCUCAGAGCUGUUUACGAAGCCGUAUGUAUUUCUAGUGUUUAUUUUAUCCACUGUUUAACACUAUAAUACAACUUGUCAAUAAAAUGGGUUUAAUGGUGCAACAAUUGUUUGUUCUGUAGGAACUCCGUGAGCUGCAAGGCCAGAUUAAGGACACCUCUGUCAUUGUGGAGAUGGACAACAGCCGUAACCUGGACAUGGAUUCCAUCGUGGCUGAGGUGCGCGCUCAGUAUGAAGACAUCGCCAACAAGAGCAGGGCUGAGGCAGAGACCUGGUACAAACAGAAGGUGAGUGAAACAAUAAAGACAACCAUGCUUUAUGUCAUCAGCAUAAACUUGAAAAAUCCAACCAGACCUUUAGGAUCAUGAGGUUAACGCAAUCUGUCAUGUUUUUCAAAACAGUAUGAGGAGAUGCAGAGCUCUGCUGGACAAUACGGCGAUGACCUGCGCACAACUAAAACUGAGAUUGCUGAGUUGAACCGCAUGAUUGCCCGUCUUCAGAAUGAGAUCGAGGCUGUCAAGUCACAGGUAAAUGAAUGACAACAAAUGACUAAAGCUUCAUUGUAUGAAGUGGUUCGGAGAAUACAAUGCUGAUAUUAAUUUCAACAGAGAGCCAACCUUGAGGCUCAGAUCGCCGAGGCUGAGGAGCGUGGUGAGCUGGCAGUGAAAGAUGCCAAGCUCCGUAUCAAGGACCUGGAGGAUGCUCUGCAGAGAGCCAAGCAGGACAUGGCCCGCCAGGUGCGUGAAUACCAGGAGCUGAUGAACGUCAAGCUGGCCCUGGACAUUGAAAUCGCCACCUACAGGAAACUGCUGGAAGGAGAGGAGAGCAGGUCGGAUAAACUUCUGAAUUUUUGUAGUUUCAUAGCUGCAGUAUUAGUAUUAACUCUUAUAGAAGACUAACUUUCUGUUUAUCAUCCUUUAGGUUGGCCAGUGGAGGAGCAUCUGCAACCAUCCAUGUCCAGCAGACCUCUGGAGGUAGGAUUUAGAGUCUACACAUUAUCAUCAACAUACUGUAUCUAAUACUGAGACCCCACAUAGAUUAAUGAAUAACUGAUAACACUUGUAUUUCUUUCUCCUCAGGAUACUCCAGUGCCAGCUCCGGUGGUGGAUUCGGCUACGGUGGUGGUAUGGGCGGUUAUGGUGGUGGUAGUGCUAUCACCAAGUCCACAGUCUCAACAACAUCAAGCAGUCUCAGGAGAGCCUACUAAAAAAGGAGAGCGGUCCCUCUUACCCCUUCAGAAGCUCUCGAUGUGGUCUAAAUCUGUACCCUUUCAUGGUGCUAUGCAGUGCUUUUGAGCAUCUUUCACGAGAGAAGGAAUAACUCACAGAUUCCUGAAAUCAUGUCAGACCAAUCGAGAGCUUCUGACGGUUAUCAUGACCUCAAAGACCAGGUCAGUUUGCAAGGCCAAAGAAGUUUUCAUUCAACACUGACAUCAGAAACAUAAGGAAAAUAAAAAUUUAAAAAAAGGUGGAGAGUAAAAACUGAGCAAAGAAAUCAACUGAAAAGCAGCACUCUCAUCAACUUUUUUGCACUGAAGUGGACUCAUGAACCGAAAUUCAAUCCUGUAGGGUAAGAAAUUGGUGCUCAUUGGCUGCUGUCAGCUGAUGUAUUUACCUCACAGUUGAGUGCUGAUAUUAGAAAGAGGAACAAGUCAUAGACUAAAAACUACAAAUUUAAGUGAGUUUCAAAAUUUAGAGCUCAACUUUGAACUUUUUGGACUUUGGUCUGUUCUUCUUUAUGAUCUUUCAAUUGUUUCUCUGUUCAGUUUUGAAUUACAAUGACCCAAAGGAAUAAAAUCUGAAACCAGGUUUAUUUUGUGAAAUCACUCUCGGCAAAACCAUUGAUGAAUGUUGCUGCAAAUGACAUCAAAUGAAGCUGAAUAAAAUAAAUCUGAGAACUAAGAUGACUGCCUCUUACUCUCAUUAUUUUUUGUAAUGAAUGACAAUAAAGGGAAAACUCAU